GACGAACGCUGGCGGCGCGCCUAACACAUGCAAGUCGAACGAGCGAGAGAGAGCUUGCUUUCUCAAGCGAGUGGCGAACGGGUGAGUAACGCGUGAGGAACCUGCCUCAAAGAGGGGGACAACAGUUGGAAACGACUGCUAAUACCGCAUAAGCCCACAGGUCGGCAUCGACCAGAGGGAAAAGGAGCAAUCCGCUUUGAGAUGGCCUCGCGUCCGAUUAGCUAGUUGGUGAGGUAACGGCCCACCAAGGCAACGAUCGGUAGCCGGACUGAGAGGUUGAACGGCCACAUUGGGACUGAGACACGGCCCAGACUCCUACGGGAGGCAGCAGUGGGGAAUAUUGCACAAUGGGGGAAACCCUGAUGCAGCGACGCCGCGUGGAGGAAGAAGGUCUUCGGAUUGUAAACUCCUGUUGU
rnacentral:rRNA from 1 species